rnacentral:rRNA from 1 species
CCUACGGGUGGCAGCAGUGAGGAAUAUUGGUCAAUGGACGAGAGUCUGAACCAGCCAAGUAGCGUGAAGGAUGACUGCCCUAUGGGUUGUAAACUUCUUUUAUAUGGAAUUAAAUGUUCCACGUGUGGGAUUUUGUUUGUUCCCUAUGAAUUAGGAUCGGCUAAAUCCGUGCCAGCAGCCGCGGUAAUACGGAGGAUCCGAGCGUUAUCCGGAUUGAUUGGGUUUAAAGGGAGCGUAGGUGGAUUGGUAAGUCAGUUGUGAAAGUUUGCGGCUCAACCGUAAAAUUGCAGUUGAAACUGGCAGUCUUGAGUACAGUAGAGGUGGGCGGAAUGCGUGGUGUAGCGGUGAAAUGCUUAGAUAUCACGAAGAACUCCGAUUGCGAAGGCAGUUCACUGGACUGCAACUGACACUGAGGCUCGAAAGUGUGGGUAUCAAACAGGAUUAGAUACCCCGGUAGUC